ACAGCACUCUGCAAACACGAAAGUGGACGUAUAGGGUGUGACGCCUGCCCGGUGCUGGAAGGUUAAUUGAAGAUGUGAGAGCAUCGGAUCGAAGCCCCAGUAAACGGCGGCCGUAACUAUAACGGUCCUAAGGUAGCGAAAUUCCUUGUCGGGUAAGUUCCGACCCGCACGAAUGGCGUAACGAUGGCCACACUGUCUCCUCCCGAGACUCAGCGAAGUUGAAAUGGUUGUGAAGAUGCAAUCUCCCCGCUGCUAGACGGAAAGACCCCGUGAACCUUUACUGUAGCUUUGCAUUGGACUUUGAAGUCACUUGUGUAGGAUAGGUGGGAGGCUUAGAAGCAGAGACGCCAGUUUCUGUGGAGCCGUCCUUGAAAUACCACCCUGGUGGCUUUGAGGUUCUAACCCAGACCCGUAAUCCGGGUCGGGGACCGUGCAUGGUAGGCAGUUUGACUGGGGCGGUCUCCUCCCAAAGAGUAACGGAGGAGUUCGAAGGUUACCUAGGUCCGGUCGGAAAUCGGACUGAUAGUGCAAUGGCAAAAGGUAGCUUAACUGCGAGACCGACAAGUCGAGCAGGUGCGAAAGCAGGACAUAGUGAUCCGGUGGUUCUGUAUGGAAGGGCCAUCGCUCAACGGAUAAAAGGUACUCCGGGGAUAACAGGCUGAUUCCGCCCAAGAGUUCAUAUCGACGGCGGAGUUUGGCACCUCGAUGUCGGCUCAUCACAUCCUGGGGCUGUAGUCGGUCCCAAGGGUAUGGCUGUUCGCCAUUUAAAGUGGUACGUGAGCUGGGUUUAAAACGUCGUGAGACAGUUUGGUCCCUAUCUGCAGUGGGCGUUGGAAGUUUGACGGGGGCUGCUCCUAGUACGAGAGGACCGGAGUGGACGAACCUCUGGUGUACCGGUUGUCACGCCAGUGGCAUCGCCGGGUAGCUAAGUUCGGAAGAGAUAAGCGCUGAAAGCAUCUAAGCGCGAAACUCGCCUGAAGAUGAGACUUCCCUUGCGGUUUAACCGCACUAAAGAGUCGUUCGAGACCAGGACGUUGAUAGGUGGGGUGUGGAAGCGCGGUAACGCGUGAAGCUAACCCAUACUAAUUGCUCGUGAGGCUUGACUCU
rnacentral:rRNA from 1 species